GUCUCGGAGCAGCAAUGCGGUCUCUCCGUUUGUCUCUGUACAUGGAGCCCUGAGGACAACUGCAUGGGCAUUUCCGGGGGAACUGCUGGCUGUUUGCUCAUCCUGCAGUCCUGCUCUGUGCCACACACAUCUGCCCUGAAGUCUCACCUCGCCACAGCCUUCUGCAUUGUCUGAAUUGAUGAUGGGGACAGCUGGCUGUGAGCCCCGGAGCAUGUGACUGCCAUUUGAAGACUGCUUGCUGAAGCACUCCCGCGGCAGAUAGAAAUCACCACAGACGAACUGUGCUGAUCAGGCUGAAGAUCGCAAUGAUACUUCGCUCUGACAGAGCUCAUUUUGUUACAGGAAAAAACAGCUUUGCGCUGCUUGUGCACAGUAGAUGAUUCAGUUUCUAUUAUCUGUACUUUUCCUGCCUGCAUCCUGGUUACAAAACACCAUAGCUAACCGAGACUCCAUCUGUGACAUACCACGUGUCUGAGAUAUGAUUCAGAAUGACAGUACAGUGGAUCUCACAUUGUGCCGCAUCCAGCAUCCCUGAGAGUGGGAUCUAUCUGAGCAUGUGUGACUCACCCUCUCCAGCACAGUGCAUUGGCAUCAGUUUGUGUCAGCUGUUGGUUAGCAGGCAUAAGUGUCUGUCAGCUGGCUGCUAGCAGGUGUUUUAGGCACCUCGUAGGCUCUGUGGAGAGGAAAUCAAUGGCUUUCUGUUGAUUAGAGGCCCCUCUGACAGGGAUCAAUCAGGCUUAUACCACCACAAAGUAACAACAUUAAAGCAGAACGCUGCUUCACUCUGCCUCCACUGCUCAAACAAGCUUUCAUGCUGCUCUGACAUAUCAGCCAUAAUGAGCCAUAAGGAAGAAUCUGGACAUUCUGCUUUGUUCCUACACUGUUCCUCACUCAUGCUGGCACAGUAAACAACCUUCAGUUCUCCAGCUGUCUCCAAUUAACUCUAUGUAUGAUUAAGCAACUCUCUACAAACUUUCUUUCUGAUUUCUGUGUUCCCAUUGGUGGGAAUUACAUAAGAGAUGCGAGGAUGCACACAUAGCCAGGCCCCAUUGCUUACAAAGUCCAGCCCAAAAUAGCCAGUGUGGCAGGCUAAUACAAAGCAACUCUCAGCUUCGGUUAUUUUGGACUGUAAUGAUAUGUCAGAGGAAACAAGGAAAACACAUUAGACCGCGAUGUUAAGGCAAACACAUUUUAGCUUGACUGUUUCACAAGAAAUCCCCAGGGAGGCCAGAGAUGUUGCCUUGGGUUCCUGCAGUAGUGAAUAAUUUACACAGCCAGAAUUAGACCUGUUAGAAAGGCACAUGUCUGAAUGUGGGUGGUUCCUUGAGAUCUUACAGGACCAUUUCAUGCCCUGCAUGAAAUAUGUAGAUACCCUGAUUCAGUGGACUCAGAGGGGAGUGAAAUGCAGCAGCGGUGAAUCUGAAGACUCAGUGGGAGAUGCACCCAGUCUUCCCUUAAUUCCAAAUGAACCCUGAUUAAGUCCUCAACAAAUUAAACCACUCAAUCCUCUCCUUCCAACUUUACUACCCCAGACAUAAUUUACAGUUGUGGCGGUCCAUAUAGGGUGCACGCCACCGCGUGUUUUCGUGAGGAUUUAGAUGCGGCCAAGUGAAGUAUUUAGAUGCUUUUUUGGCUCAACGGGGAACUGAAGAAGCCACAUUGGCGUAGCUUUGAUUCCUGGUGGAUCAGACUAGAUUAUAUUCAGCGGAUUGUUAGGCUUUUCCAGGGUACACUAGAGUUAGAGGAACUCUAGUGUCCUCAUGUAGCUGAUAGUGCAUGUUGUAAAGGUGGCAAAUGUUUGCAAAAGAUAUGACUUCAUGAUCACUCCCUGAAGAAACUUUGACCAAAUGAGGCUUGAAGACUAGAAUAAAAUAGAAUAGAAUAACCAUUUGAAUGUAAUUUUCCUAUGCUUAUUUAGCAAAUUAUGUUUAUUUUGGCUGCACAAAAAAAGAACAUUCCAAUCCACUCCAAGUAACACUCAUAAACAAAUUCAUGCACAAGCCAAACCAUUUGGGAGCGGUAUCCAUGGUAACCCACACUGAGCAGGAGCAAAAGAGAUUGAAUUGAUUUCAAAGGGAAUGAAGUAAAGUGCUGAUGGGAGUCUUCCAUGGAGACUAUAAAAAUCUACGUCACGAGGAUAAGAUGCUUGUAAACCUUCAACAAUCUGCAAACGCACCACAGGAGGGAUUCAGCAGUGCAGCUUCAUAUCGACAGUACGUUUAGUGGAAACAUACAAUGUGGAUGUCUCUUAUGUCCGGGAUUAUCUCCAGCAGAGAUUGACAAUUAAAAGUUAACACAAGGUUUACCAUAAGGAGACCCCCUCUGGCAGCCUCAUGGUGAAUAUAACACAGGAAGAAAGACCUCAUGUGGGCAUAUUCUCAGAUCCUCCUUUCAGUACAUGUAGGUCAAAGUAAGAAUAGUGUAGAUAUUAUUCACAGCUGCACUGAGCAAACACAAACUCCUCUGUCCUGGUCUCUGGAGUCACAGUAAGACAUCCCAUGGUGAGUCUUAAUUAAAUCUUUAUUCUACACUCCUCUCUCAUCCUUCAUCAUCUACCAUUUUGGCUAAGGAAUCACUCAUGUGUGCAAGUUUAUUAAAGGGGAAACGCAUUUGGAACGAAGAGACGGGCCUCUUGCUGGGUGCAGUUUCUUUCCGAGGGCUCCUGGCGGUGUGAAUUAUUUGUGGUGCAUUGUCACUAUGAUAUUGUUAUGUAACAACAUAGAAACAGAAUGCAGUUAUAUUACAGUUAGAGCAAAACUUGCAAAUCAGAUUUUCAAGCACUGAUUGAGGUCAGCAGGAGGUUUUAUAAUGCAGUGCUGUCAUUAAGGUUCCGCUAUUCAAGAUUGGACAGACAACAAAUCUUUUGUGCCACGGUUUGGAAGAAUCAAUGAGGUCCUUCUAAAUGUGGAUAUCUCUCACUGUCCAUCCCACAGCAGUACAAUGCAAAGCAGUACUGAGUUGCACUAAUUGUGCAAGGCUGUAGGCCUUGUAUAAUAGCUGUAACAGCCACUCUUUCCCAAUCAAAGACUACCAUCUGAUUGCUGAAUAAAACAACUGAAUUGUG